UACGUAGGGUGCGAGCGUUAAUCGGAAUUACUGGGCGUAAAGCGCGCGUAGGUGGUUUGGUAAGAUGGAUGUGAAAUCCCCGGGCUCAACCUGGGAACUGCAUCCAUAACUGCCUGACUAGAGUACGGUAGAGGGUGGUGGAAUUUCCUGUGUAGCGGUGAAAUGCGUAGAUAUAGGAAGGAACACCAGUGGCGAAGGCGACCACCUGGACUGAUACUGACACUGAGGUGCGAAAGCGUGGGGAGCAAACAGG
rnacentral:rRNA from 1 species